CUACUACUCCCUCCGUCCGAAAAAGUUUGUCCCAAACUUGUCCCUUAAAUGGAUGUAUCUAUCACUAACUUGAUGCUAGAUACAUCCAUUUGAAGAACAAACUUUUUCGGAUGGAGGGAGUACAAA
rfam:Triticum urartu cultivar G1812 contig914352, whole genome shotgun sequence.